rnacentral:rRNA from 1 species
AGGGCACCACCAGGAGUGGAGCCUGCGGCUUAAUUUGACUCAACACGGGAAAACUCACCCGGCCCGGACACUGGAAGGAUUGACAGAUUGAGAGCUCUUUCUUGAUUCAGUGGGUGGUGGUGCAUGGCCGUUCUUAGUUGGUGGAGUGAUUUGCCUGGUUAAUUCCGAUAACGAACGAGACUCUAGCCUAUUAAAUAGAUCGUUGGCUUACAAACGCCGGCGAGACUUCUUAGAGGGACAGGCGGCGAUUCAGCCGCACGAAACAGAGCAAUAACAGGUCUGUGAUGCCCUUAGAUCUCCGGGGCCGCACGCGCGCUACACUGAAGUGAUCAGCGUGCAUUUUGAAACCUACUCUGUCAAGAGUGGGGAACCCAAUGAACCUUCUUCGUGAUUGGGAUAGGGGAUUGUAAUUAUUCCCCUUGAACGAGGAAUUCCCAGUAAGCGCGAAUCAUAAGUUUGCGCUGAUUACGUCCCUGCCCUUUGUACACACCGCCCGUCGCUACUACCGAUUGAAUGUUU